rnacentral:rRNA from 1 species
ACAGCAGCCGCCGCGGGAAUACGGAGGGAGCUAGCGUUGUUCGGAAUUACUGGGCGUAAAGCGCGCGUAGGCGGUUACUCAAGUCAGAGGUGAAAGCCCGGGGCUCAACCCCGGAACUGCCUUUGAAACUAGGUGACUAGAAUCUUGGAGAGGUCAGUGGAAUUCCGAGUGUAGAGGUGAAAUUUGUAGAUAUUCGGAAGAACACCAGUGGCGAAGGCGACUGACUGGACAAGUAUUGACGCUGAGGUGCGAAAGCGUGGGGAGCAAACAGGAUUAGAUACCCCAGUAGUCCCUGUCUCUUAUAC